GAUGAACGCUAGCGGGAGGCCUAAUACAUGCAAGUCGAACGGUAACAUGGGUAGCAAUAUCUGAUGACGAGUGGCGCACGGGUGAGUAACGCGUACACAACCUGCCUUAUACUGGAGCAUAGCCUCGGGAAACUGAGAUUAAUUCUCCAUAACAUUAUGAAGUGGCAUCACUUUAUAAUUAAAAUUCCGAUGGUAUAAGAUGGGUGUGCGUCUGAUUAGCUAGUUGGCGGGGUAACGGCCCACCAAGGCAACGAUCAGUAGCUGGUCUGA
rnacentral:rRNA from 1 species